rnacentral:rRNA from 1 species
GGAGAGUUUGAUCCUGGCUCAGGACGAACGCUGGCGGCGUGCCUAACACAUGCAAGUCAAGGGGUAGCAAUACCACUGGCGGACGGGUGAGUAACGCGUGGGUAAUCUGCCCUUAUCCCCGGAAUAACGCUGAGAAAUCGGUGCUAAAAACGGAUGAGGCCGCAAGGUCAAAGGAAACGGAUAGGGAUGAGCCCGCGUCUGAUUAGCUAGUUGGUAAGGUAAUGGCUUACCAAGGCUACGAUCAGUAGCUGGUCUGAGAGGACGAUCAGCCACACUGGAACUGAGACACGGUCCAGACUCCUACGGGAGGCAGCAGUGAGGAAUUUUGCACAAUGGGGGAAACCCUGAUGCAGCGACGCCGUGUGUGGGACGAAGGGGCUUUGCCUCGUAAACCACUGUCAGAUGGGAAAAAAAGUUCGCUUUGCGGACCGGGAUUGUACCAUCAGAGGAAGGACCGGCUAACUACGUGCCAGCAGCCGCGGUAAUACGUAGGGUCCAAGCGUUGUCCGGAUUUACUGGGUAUAAAGGGUGCGUAGGCGGACCUGUACGUCGGGGGUUAAAUAUCCAGGCUCAACCUGGAAAAUGCCUUCGAAACGGCGGGUCUUGAGUGCGAGAGAGGAUGGUAGAAUUCUUGGUGUAGCGGUGAAAUGCGUAGAUAUCAAGAGGAAUACCAGUGGCGAAGGCGGCCAUCUGGCUCGUUACUGACGCUCAGGCACGAAAGCGUGGGGAGCAAACAGGAUUAGAUACCCUGGUAGUCCACGCCCUAAACGAUGUAUGCUUGGUGUUAGCUUUUUAAGUUAGUGCCGGAGGUAAUCCGUUAAGCAUACCACCUGGGGAGUACGAUCGCAAGGUUGAAACUCAAAGGAAUUGACGGGGGCCCGCACAAGCGGUGGAUUAUGUGGUUUAAUUCGAUGC